GCCCUGAUGGUCUAGUGGUAUGAUUCUCCCUUCGGGUUACCUGAAGAAUCCUGCCUCUGAGAGGCAAAAUGGGAGAGGUCCCCGGUUCAAAUCCGGGUUAGGGCC